rnacentral:rRNA from 1 species
ACUCCUACGGGAGGCAGCAGUAAGUUAAUACCUUGCUGUUUUGACGUUACCGACAGAAUAAGCACCGGCUAACUCUGUGCCAGCAGCCGCGGUAAUA